UUACGAGCCUGGCAGCCUGCAAUGCGGAGCCUCCACAUGGGGACAGUUGCCUUGGAGAGUUCCCGUAGAUUCAGGGGACCGAAAUGUUGACAGUGAAUCAACUGGGAGGAUAUUUUCAAUCAGAACCGUCUGACUGACCCACAAUGCCCUUGUGAAAUUAUAGCCACUGAUUAAUGUUUAUCUGAGGAGUAUAACUGUAAGUUUCCAGAGCUGCUGGAAAGCCAAUUCUUACCCAAAACAGCUGUGAAACCAGACUGACUUUUAACCUCCCCUGUUGAAUACAGGAACUCUUGGCACAAUUACAGUGCAAGUAGCACAGAACCUAUGGGGUUACCAUUAUAGAAACAGACUUGGCCAGCAGGAAAUGUUUAUAUCCUGCACGAAACCCUGAUGUUUGACAUAAAACUGGAGCUGCUCACCAUCAUUUUAUAAAACAAAAGUCUCCCUCUUUGAACUUGCCUCAUGGCCCAAACGAACAAAUACUCCCAUUUCCUUUCCAUCAAAUACCUCAAUCCCAACUAUUUCUUUCAUUGAACCAUUUUUGUACUCUGUAGAUACAGGAAAUAAACAGCCCUGCAGUGCUCUGCCUAUAAUGCAAUACAAGCCACUUCCACCGAGGAGAACACUCAGUAAGCAACAACAAAGAGAGAUAGACUCUGGGUUGGUCCUUCCAAUUCCUCAAGCAUCUCCUAGGUAAGGCAAUUAUAUUUUAAUAAAAAUGAACUAGGCUUCAUGCUACAAAAGCAACACCACCAGAUUUCUCUAUAACUUACUGAAUUUGAGGCUUAGAACUCAAGAGGUAAUAUCUACAUGCUGACUUUCACCAGUUUCUCCUUUAUCAAAGAUAGACAUGUGAAGACGGGGAAAUGAAGAAAGCCUGGGUUAAGAGAUUGAGCUGGCUGAACCCAAGGAUCUAGAAGAGAUAAGUUAAAGCCUUUUUACAACUUCCAGCAGCCCUCGGCAAAGUUACAGCACCAGAAAACCACCUGGUCACCCAGUUUCCUGCCAGUAACUGGACAAAAGAGGGAGACUAGCAAAACUCCCCAAAGGACUGUUAAUUAGUUUAAGGGGCAACCUACACCUGAUGCCCUUGAUUAUUUCUCCUCCCCUGUUAGCAAAAAAUUAAAGGGACAGGAAAGAUUAAGAGGGCACCGACUAUUAUCUUUCACUGUGGCUGAUAAAUGCAUCUUUCUCUUUUUUUUUUUUUAAAGCAAAUUACUGGUAUUGCUGUUUUCUUAGGUGUAACGCAGAGCCUCUCAGAGGUCAGACAAUUUUGUUGUGACCUCAGCAGGCAACUAUGAUUAGACUAUAUUGGUUUGUUCCUUUCAUGUGUUAAGAUGACCAUGCAAAUGUGUGGACUUCUUAACUGCAGAAGGCCAAAAGGAAAUCAGGCAGCCAAAAGGAAAUUGUGCAUAAUCAUCCCUCUUCCAAAUUUACUUGGAUUUCUUAAGCAUAUAUGGGCAGAGAAUGUUUGAAAGUCUUUGAGGCAAUGUGCGGGGGGGCAGGGUGGAAAGUGGGUUUUAGUGCUGGAUCCAUUCUGUUAUUUGGAGUGUCUUAUAAAUAUAUUUAAUAUCUCUGUUUCUUCAUCUACAAUGAGGGAACAAACAUCGCCUUCUCAGGACAUUCAGGUAUAGUGGGGAAGGGUCCAGGCCACUCUAGACCUGUACCUACACUUCAAUAUGAGGGAAGGAAACUGCUUCUCAUUUGAAAUCUUCAAAUUCACCAUUUUGGUUGUUUCUUCAUUCAACUGAGAUGAUCAUCUAAGAAAAAGUCAUGACACUAUGUAUUAAUUUUCCAUUGCAGCUGUAACACAGUGCCACAGAUGUUGUAGAUGAAAACCACAAAUUAAUUUUCUUGCACUUCUCUAGAUUAGACGUGUGACACAGACCAAACAGGGCUAAAAUUAUAGUGUUAGCAGGGCUGUGUUUCUUCCUGGAGAAUCUGUUUCCUUCCAUUUUCCAGCUUGUAGAGGCCACCCACAAGCCAUGACUCAUGGCCCUCUUCCUCUGUCUUCAAAAUCAGCAAGAUUUUAUCUUCCUGACCAUAGCCAAGAUAGUUCUCUGAUUUUUAAGGACCCAUGUGAUCACAUGGAGCU
rnacentral:lncRNA from 1 species